rnacentral:rRNA from 1 species
UACGUAGGGGGCAAGCGUUGUCCGGAAUCAUUGGGCGUAAAGAGCGUGUAGGCGGUUCGGUAAGUCGGCUGUAAAAGUCCAGGGCUCAACCCUGGGAUGCCGGUCGAUACUGCCGGACUAGAGUUCGGAAGAGGCGAGUGGAAUUCCCGGUGUAGCGGUGAAAUGCGCAGAUAUCGGGAGGAACACCUAUGGCGAAGGCAGCUCGCUGGGACGUUACUGACGCUGAGGCGCGAAAGCGUGGGGAGCAAACAGG